GAUGAACGCUGGCGGCGUGCUUAACACAUGCAAGUCGAACGGACGGAUUGGAGCUUGCUCCAUGAAGUUAGUGGCGGACGGGUGAGUAACGCGUGGGUAACCUGCCCUAUGCAGGGGGAUAACGUUUGGAAACGAACGCUAAUACCGCAUAAUCUAGUUGGUUCGCAUGAGCCGAUUAGCAAAGAUUUUAUCGGCAUAGGAUGGACCCGCGUUGGAUUAGCUAGUUGGUGAGAUAAAAGCCCACCAAGGCGACGAUCCAUAGCCGGCCUGAGAGGGUGAACGGCCACACUGGGACUGAGACACGGCCCAGACUCCUACGGGAGGCAGCAGUGGGGAAUAUUGCACAAUGGGCGCAAGCCUGAUGCAGCGACGCCGCGUGAAGGAUGAAGGUCUUCGGAUUGUAAACUUCUAUCAGCAGGGAAGAAUACCAUGACGGUACCUGACUAAGAAGCCCCGGCUAACUACGUGCCAGCAGCCGCCGUAAAAC
rnacentral:rRNA from 1 species